rnacentral:rRNA from 1 species
CGCUGGCGGCGUGCUUAACACAUGCAAGUCGAACGGAAAGGCCCUGCUUUUGUGGGGUGCUCGAGUGGCGAACGGGUGAGUAACACGUGAGUAACCUGCCCUUGACUUUGGGAUAACUUCAGGAAACUGGGGCUAAUACCGGAUAGGAGCUCCUGCUGCAUGGUGGGGGUUGGAAAGUUUCGGCGGUUGGGGAUGGACUCGCGGCUUAUCAGCUUGUUGGUGGGGUAGUGGCUUACCAAGGCUUUGACGGGUAGCCGGCCUGAGAGGGUGACCGGCCACAUUGGGACUGAGAUACGGCCCAGACUCCUACGGGAGGCAGCAGUGGGGAAUAUUGCACAAUGGGCGGAAGCCUGAUGCAGCAACGCCGCGUGCGGGAUGACGGCCUUCGGGUUGUAAACCGCUUUCGCCUGUGACGAAGCGUGAGUGACGGUAAUGGGUAAAGAAGCACCGGCUAACUACGUGCCAGCAGCCGCGGUGAUACGUAGGGUGCGAGCGUUGUCCGGAUUUAUUGGGCGUAAAGGGCUCGUAGGUGGUUGAUCGCGUCGGAAGUGUAAUCUUGGGGCUUAACCCUGAGCGUGCUUUCGAUACGGGUUGACUUGAGGAAGGUAGGGGAGAAUGGAAUUCCUGGUGGAGCGGUGGAAUGCGCAGAUAUCAGGAGGAACACCAGUGGCGAAGGCGAUUCUCUGGGCCUUUCCUGACGCUGAGGAGCGAAAGCGUGGGGAGCGAACAGGCUUAGAUACCCUGGUAGUCCACGCUGUAAACGGUGGGUACUAGGUGUGGGGUCCAUUCCACGGGUUCCGUGCCGUAGCUAACGCUUUAAGUACCCCGCCUGGGGAGUACGGCCGCAAGGCUAAAACUCAAAGGAAUUGACGGGGCCCCGCACAAGCGGCGGAGCAUGCGGAUUAAUUCGAUGCAACGCGUAGAACCUUACCUGGGUUUGACAUGGAUCGGGAGUGCUCAGAGAUGGGUGUGCCUCUUUUGGGGUCGGUUCACAGGUGGUGCAUGGCUGUCGUCAGCUCGUGUCGUGAGAUGUUGGGUUAAGUCCCGCAACGAGCGCAACCCUUGUUCACUGUUGCCAGCACGUUAUGGUGGGGACUCAGUGGAGACCGCCGGGGUCAACUCGGAGGAAGGUGGGGAUGACGUCAAGUCAUCAUGCCCCUUAUGUCCAGGGCUUCACGCAUGCUACAAUGGCUGGUACAGAGAGUGGCGAGCCUGUGAGGGUGAGCGAAUCUCGGAAAGCCGGUCUCAGUUCGGAUUGGGGUCUGCAACUCGACCUCAUGAAGUCGGAGUCGCUAGUAAUCGCAGAUCAGCAACGCUGCGGUGAAUACGUUCCCGGGGCUUGUACACACCGCCCGUCAAGUCAUGAAAGUUGGUAACACCCGAAGCCGGAGGCCUAACCGUUGUGGGGGAGCCGUCGAAGGUGGGACUGG